GUGAAUCAUCAAAUCUUUGAACGCAAAUUGCACUCCCUGGUAUUCCGGGGAGUAUGUCUGUUUGAGGGUCGUUAAAAUAAAAAAUCGAGGCGUCGCUUUUUUUUUGAGGGUGAUCGCGUCGGAAUUAAGCCGUCUUUCAAAUGUUAAUUCAUGUCAAAUGGGCUUAAAGUUCAUUCAGCCGGUACGAUUAAAGCGUAUUUAAUAUCAAUUGUGAUUAAGAACGCGC
rnacentral:misc_RNA from 1 species